rnacentral:rRNA from 1 species
GGGGUGCAGCAGGCGCGAAAACUUUACAAUGCCGGCAACGGCGAUAAGGGAACCUCGAGUGCCAGGUUACAAAUCUGGCUGUCGUGAUGCCUAAAAAGCAUUGCAUAGCAAGGGCCGGGCAAGACCGGUGCCAGCCGCCGCGGUAACACCGGCGGCUCGAGUGGUAACCGUUAUUAUUGGGUCUAAAGGGUCUGUAGCCGGCCGGGUAAGUCUCUUGGGAAAUCUGGCAGCUUAACUGUCAGGCUUUCAGGAGAUACUGCCUGGCUCGAGGCCGGGAGAGGUGAGAGGUACUUCAGGGGUAGGGGUGAAAUCUUGUAAUCCUUGAAGGACCACCAGUGGCGAAGGCGUCUCACCAGAACGGACCUGACGGCAAGGGACGAAAGCUAGGGGCACGAACCGGAUUAGAUACCCGGGUAGUCCUAGCCGUAAACGAUACUCGCUAGGUGUCGGCCACGGUGCGACCGUGGUCGGUGCCGUAGGGAAGCCGUGAAGCGAGCCACCUGGGAAGUACGGCCGCAAGGCUGAAACUUAAAGGAAUUGGCGGGGGAGCAC